GAAGCAGUACCGGAAGGAGCUGUGGACUGUAUGGAAGAGAGAAUGCCGGAAUGAGUAGCGAGAGGAAGGUGGGAAUCCUUCCGGCCGAAUAUCCAAGGUUUCCAGGGUAAAGCUGAUCUGCCCUGGGUAAGUCGGGACCUAAGGCGAGGCCGAGAGGCGUAGUCGAUGGACAACAGGCAGAAAUUCCUGUACUGCUGUACAACAGAACUGUGGGGACGCAGAAAGAGAGCGCGAGCCGGGAAUGGAGAGACCGGUGCAAGCGGGGUACCAGUCCGGUUGGAAAAACCGCCGGGCAAUGGGAAGACGUGAUGCGGAGCGAAGAAAAAGUAGUGAAGCGCGUGAGCUGGCUGCCAAGAAAAGCCGCUAUUGUUUGUACAGUACCCGUACCGUAAACCGACACAGGUGGAUGAGGAGAGAAUCCUAAGGCCGACGGGAGAAGCAUUGUUAAGGAACUCGGCAAAAUGACUCCGUAACUUCGGGAGAAGGAGUGCCAGUGAGAGCUGGCCGCAGAGAAUAGGCCCAAGCAACUGUUUAGCAAAAACACAGGUCUAUGCAAAACCGAAAGGUGAGGUAUAUGGGCUGACGCCUGCCCGGUGCUGGAAGGUUAAGGGGAGAGGUUAGCGCAAGCGAAGCUUUGAACUUAAGCCCCAGUAAACGGCGGCCGUAACUAUAACGGUCCUAAGGUAGCGAAAUUCCUUGUCGGGUAAGUUCCGACCCGCACGAAAGGCGUAAUGAUUUGGGCACUGUCUCGACAAUGCACCCGGUGAAAUUGAAGUACCAGUGAAGAUGCUGGUUACCUGCGCCAGGACGGAAAGACCCCAUGGAGCUUUACUCCAGCUUGAUACUGGGAUUCGGUAUUGCAUGUACAGGAUAGGUGGGAGGCUAAGAAGUAAGGACGCCAGUCCUUAUGGAGCCGCUGUUGGGAUACCACCCUUGCGGUAUUGGGUUUCUAACCAGCAGCCGUGACCCGGCUGGGGGACAAUGUCAGGUGGGGAGUUUGACUGGGGCGGUCGCCUCCGAAAGGGUAUCGGAGGCGCUCAAAGGUUCCCUCAGAAUGGACGGAAACCAUUCGAAGAGUGCAAAGGCAGAAGGGAGCUUGACUGCGACACCGACGGGUGGAGCAGGUACGAAAGUAGGACUUAGUGAUCCGGUGGUAUAAAGUGGGAUUGCCAUCGCUCAACGGAUAAAAGCUACCCUGGGGAUAACAGGCUUAUCACUCCCAAGAGUUCACAUCGACGGAGUGGUUUGGCACCUCGAUGUCGGCUCAUCGCAUCCUGGGGCUGAAGUAGGUCCCAAGGGUUGGGCUGUUCGCCCAUUAAAGCGGUACGCGAGCUGGGUUCAGAACGUCGUGAGACAGUUCGGUCCCUAUCCGGCGUGGGCGUAGGAUAUUUGAGAGGAGCUGUCCUUAGUACGAGAGGACCGGGAUGGACCGGCCGCUGGUGUACCUGUUGCAUUACCAAGUGCAUGGCAGGGUAGCCAAGCCGGGAAGGGAUAAACGCUGAAGGCAUCUAAGCGUGAAGCCCCCCUCAAGAUGAGAUAUCCCAUGCGAAAGCAGUAAGACCCCUUGAAGACGACGAGGUAGAUAGGGCAGAGGUGGAAGUGUGGUAACACAUGGAGCUGACUGUUACUAAUAGGUCGAGGGCAUAACCAAG
rnacentral:rRNA from 1 species